rnacentral:rRNA from 1 species
AACAGGAUUAGAUACCCUGGUAGUCCAUGCCGUAAACGUUGGGAACUAGGUGUGGGUCUCAUUCCACGAGAUCCGUGCCGCAGCUAACGCAUUAAGUUCCCCGCCUGGGGAGUACGGCCGCAAGGCUAAAACUCAAAGGAAUUGACGGGGGCCCGCACAAGCGGCGGAGCAUGCGGAUUAAUUCGAUGCAACGCGAAGAACCUUACCAAGGCUUGACAUACACCGGAAACACUCAGAGAUGGGUGCCCCGCAAGGUCGGUGUACAGGUGGUGCAUGGUUGUCGUCAGCUCGUGUCGUGAGAUGUUGGGUUAAGUCCCGCAACGAGCGCAACCCUCGUUCUAUGUUGCCAGCGGAUAAUGCCGGGGACUCAUAGGAGACUGCCGGGGUCAACUCGGAGGAAGGUGGGGAUGACGUCAAAUCAUCAUGCCCCUUAUGUCUUGGGCUUCACGCAUGCUACAAUGGCCGGUACAAAGGGCUGCGAUACCGCAAGGUGGAGCGAAUCCCAAAAAACCGGUCUCAGUUCGGAUUGGGGUCUGCAACUCGACCCCAUGAAGUCGGAGUCGCUAGUAAUCGCAGAUCAGCAACGCUGCGGUGAAUACGUUCCCGGGCCUUGUACACACCGCCCGUCAAGUCACGAAAGUCGGUAACACCCGAAGCCGGUGGCCCAACCUUUUGGAGGGAGCCGUCGAAGGUGGGACUGGCGAUUGGGACUAAGUCGUAACAAGGUAACC